rnacentral:rRNA from 1 species
GACGAACGCUGGCGGCGUGCCUAAUACAUGCAAGUCGAGCGGACGUUUUUGAAGCUUGCUUCAAAAACGUUAGCGGCGGACGGGUGAGUAACACGUGGGCAACCUACCUUAUCGACUGGGAUAACUCCGGGAAACCGGGGCUAAUACCGGAUAACAUCUAGCACCUCCUGGUGCCGGAUUAAAAGAGGGCUUCUUGCUCUCACGAUGAGAUGGGCCCGCGGCGCAUUAGCUAGUUGGAGAGAUAACGGCUCCCCAAGGCGACGAUGCGUAGCCGACCUGAGAGGGUGAUCGGCCACACUGGGACUGAGACACGGCCCAGACUCCUACGGGAGGCAGCAGUAGGGAAUCUUCCGCAAUGGACGAAAGUCUGACGGAGCAACGCCGCGUGAGUGAUGAAGGGUUUCGGCUCGUAAAGCUCUGUUAUGAGGGAAGAACACGUACCGUUCGAAUAGGGCGGUACC